rnacentral:lncRNA from 1 species
AAUGUUGAUACGUUUUUCAUACAAAUUGGUCAAAGUUUAAUAUCUUUGACUUAGGACAAACCUAGAUGCACACUUAUUUGCGGACUGAGGGAGUAUUAUACAUGUUGGUUAUUGUAUUGGCUAUAGAUGACAUGAUAUGGGCUAAUAGCCACCAGCUGGCUAUAUUAUUAAUCUUGCUCUAACAGACUAUGCAUUGUAUGAGGCCUCCCAAUGCUCCUACGUGGUGUUGUCUCUAACUCCACGUCAGCAUUUUGUCUAUAUGGAUUUGGUACAUCAUUAAAGUUUGGCACAAAUUUCAAUACGGGCCUUAUAAAUCCGGACGGAGGUAGUAGGCCAUAAGACGUACUGCGCAAAUAUAUUAAUGAAAAUGUUAAUGUACAAUGGAAAGAAAAUGAAAAGAAAGGUGAAAAAAAAUCUAUUUGAUCUCCAUGAUGUCAUGGC